rnacentral:rRNA from 1 species
AUUGAACGCUGGCGGCAUGCUUUACACAUGCAAGUCGAACGGUUAACAGGCCUUCGGGUGCUGACGAGUGGCGAACGGGUGAGUAAUGCAUCGGAACGUGCCCAGUCGUGGGGGAUAACUGCUCGAAAGAGCAGCUAAUACCGCAUACGAUCUAUGGAUGAAAGCGGGGGACCGUAAGGCCUCGCGCGAUUGGAGCGGCCGAUGUCAGAUUAGGUAGUUGGUGGGGUAAAGGCUCACCAAGCCAACGAUCUGUAGCUGGUCUGAGAGGACGACCAGCCACACUGGGACUGAGACACGGCCCAGACUCCUACGGGAGGCAGCAGUGGGGAAUUUUGGACAAUGGGGGCAACCCUGAUCCAGCAAUGCCGCGUGCAGGAAGAAGGCCUUCGGGUUGUAAACUGCUUUUGUACGGAACGAAAAGGCUCUGGUUAAUACCUGGGGCACAUGACGGUACCGUAAGAAUAAGCACCGGCUAACUACGUGCCAGCAGCCGCGGUAAUACGUAGGGUGCGAGCGUUAAUCGGAAUUACUGGGCGUAAAGCGUGCGCAGGCGGUUUUGUAAGACAGGCGUGAAAUCCCCGGGCUCAACCUGGGAAUGGCGCUUGUGACUGCAAGGCUGGAGUGCGGCAGAGGGGGAUGGAAUUCCGCGUGUAGCAGUGAAAUGCGUAGAUAUGCGGAGGAACACCGAUGGCGAAGGCAAUCCCCUGGGCCUGCACUGACGCUCAUGCACGAAAGCGUGGGGAGCAAACAGGAUUAGAUACCC